CCGCAAAUCCUCCUGAACCAGCUGAGGGAUCACAACCUCAUCCCAGAGGACCGAUACAAGAAAGUAAGUCGCAUGAGGAGUAAAGCUAACAUGAAGAACGGCAUGUAUGACCUUCUGGACUGGUUGGAAAGAGAGCGAUCAGACCACAUUGGCCUGUUCUGGAAGUGCGUCUUUAAGGACAGCAUCCGUAACCAAUACGUCACCCUACAAAAGCUACACAUCAGCCUUCUAGAUGGGUCUUUCCAGUUCGAGCCAA